rnacentral:rRNA from 1 species
AGAGUUUGAUCCUGGCUCAGAACGAACGCUGGCGGCGUGCUUAACACAUGCAAGUCGAACGUGAAGGGGAGCUUGCUCCCUGGAAAGUGGCGCACGGGUGAGUAACGCGUGGAUAAUCUGCCUGACGAUCUGGGAUAACAUCUCGAAAGGGGUGCUAAUACCGGAUAAGCCCACGGGGUCUUCGGAUUCUGCGGGAAAAGGGGGGGACCUUCGGGCCUUCUGUCGUCAGAUGAGUCCGCGUACCAUUAGCUAGUUGGUAGGGUAAAGGCCUACCAAGGCGACGAUGGUUAGCUGGUCUGAGAGGAUGAUCAGCCACACUGGAACUGAGACACGGUCCAGACUCCUACGGGAGGCAGCAGUGGGGAAUUUUGCGCAAUGGGGGAAACCCUGACGCAGCAACGCCGCGUGAGUGAUGAAGGCCUUCGGGUCGUAAAGCUCUGUCAGAGGGAAAGAAAUGCAUGGUGGCUAAUAACCAUUGUGCUUGACGGUACCCUCAAAGGAAGCACCGGCUAACUCCGUGCCAGCAGCCGCGGUAAUACGGAGGGUGCGAGCGUUGUUCGGAUUUAUUGGGCGUAAAGCGCGUGUAGGCGGUUUUUUAAGUCUGAUGUGAAAGCCCCGGGCUCAACCUGGGAAGUGCAUUGGAUACUGGAAGACUUGAGUACGGGAGAGGGCAGUGGGAUUCCCAGUGUAGGAGUGAAAUCCGUAGAUAUUGGGAGGAACACCGGUGGCGAAGGCGGCUGCCUGGACCGAUACUGACGCUGAGACGCGAAAGCGUGGGGAGCAAACAGGAUUAGAUACCCUGGUAGUCCACGCCGUAAACGAUGAGUACUAGGUGUUGCGGGUAUUGACCCCUGCAGUGCCGCAGCUAACGCAUUAAGUACUCCGCCUGGGAAGUACGGUCGCAAGACUAAAACUCAAA